AAAUGCUUCUGGACACCCCUCAAACCAAGACCUAUAGGGUGUAUAAACCACGUCUUUCAUACCUAAGCCUGAGGGUGGCUUAGGAAUAGUAAAACCG
rnacentral:ncRNA from 1 species